rnacentral:lncRNA from 1 species
UAAAUUAUGACGUCAUAUGCAAUGUAAACAAAGAAACGCUAUCAUCAGGUAAUGUUUUUUCAUAUCAAGGAAUUAUUAAAAAUGAAAUUGGUAUUGCGCGUUCCUUCCUAUUUUAUACAAGACUGAUAAAUAUAUAUUUUACUCAAAGUUUCAUACAAACGAGACCGGAAAAAGGAAGUACGUUGUACAUUUCUGCGCAGGUCCGGGAUUUCAAAACACGACAAAAAAAAAAUUGAACGAUUUUGAGUUCAUUAGUACAAUGAAAAAUUCGGGAAAUUUUCAGGUAUUUUUUUUUUUAUUGAAUUUUCUACUGUUAUUGGGGACUCUGUCCCCAUA